UGCCCUCUCAGUGCUCUCUUGCUGCCCCUCCUCAGGGGCAGGAUGCGGAGGAAUAGCAUGAGAAUGCUCGUAGGACGAGAUGAAUACAGGGAGGUCACUUACCAGUGACUGUCAUGGGGAAAAUAGACCUACCUUGGAGAAAACAAAGUUAAUGUAUUGACAAUUGAAAUAGAUUUGCGAGUGAGAAACAAUGAUUAAAACCACACCCAAGCCCUAGAGCAGCACGAGAGAAUGGGGAAUGGGGACUGAUCAGUACAGAACAGCUCCUCUCUGAUGAUCCUUGCUCCAGAGUGGGUUAUUCCAUGGGCCGCAGUCCUGCAGGAUAAACCACCUCCAGCGCGGUCUCUCCAGAGGAGUAUCUGAUCGAGCACCUGCGGUACAUCAUUCUACAGCUUCUUGUCUGACCUUGCUGUCUGCAAGGCCGUUUCUUACACCUUUUUCCCUCUUCCUCUGCCUUUGUGGCAUUUCUUUGCCCACCCUUGAACACAUUUUCACCACGCGGCCGUGCCCGGCGGUGGGCGGGCUGGGACGGGCAGGGCCCCUCACGGAGCAGCCCCGCAGGCCCGCCCGGGCCCCGGCACCCGCCGCGGGAGGCCUGAGGGGCAGGAUGGCCAUUUGCUGGCCCAUAGAUCUGAACACAGAGACACUUCAAGACAGGCUAAAUGCGUUACCCCAGCUCUUGACUUGGGCGUGUGACAGAGCAGCCUCAGCCGGGCUUUGCUGCUCGCUGUGUGCCGGACUGGCAGAGCAGUAGCUGCCUUGGCUCACGGUUAUGCACGAACGCAGCUGAGCAGAAUUUUCUUGACUUUAAGCAUCUUUGGAUGUUUUUGUCAUUUUGUCCAUGACCGGAGAGAUAUACUUAUUACAUGAAGUGUUGUAUUUUUUACAUUUUGAUUUCUUUAAUCUCUUUAGUUCGCUACAAGCAUUAAAAAGCAACUCCUGCUUUAUUAGCAGAAGUUUUCUCUUUAAUUGGGUGCUAAUGAUGGUGCUUUUUCAAGGAUUUUCACAGCUAGUACCUUGGGUGUUGAAACAAAGCAACAUCUCAUUGUGACUGAACAAAAACCCUACUUCAAACUAAUUGCCCUCUAUCUUUGAAUAAGCUAUAGGAAUGCAUCACCUUCUUUAACAAUGCCCUCUGGUCAGCUGGCUUUCUGCACUAGGCAUUCUGCUCCAGACAGAUGUGGGGAAUAUUAAUCAUGACAGGGUUUUACCUCCUACUGACCUGACCUUCACUGGGGAAGUGAAGAUCUCAGAAUCAGAAUAUCUGAAAGAGCAGAUUAAUUCAGGAUGAGUCCUCUUCAUUUUGGGCCAGAUCUCAAACCAGAAUCAAUCUGAAAACUCUGCUGAAGGUAAAAGAAUCUCGUUAUUGAAACCAGUCGAAUGUCUCCUGCCACAGUAAUCUCUGCACGCUUAGGAGAACUUUACUUUUCACUUGAUUCUAGGAUACCUAAAAUAUUAAAGCCACUUAAAUAAGUAUACCCAUAUUAUAUGUAAAUGGUAUAAUUUAGAUUCUUUGGAAGUCGAACUAAAACUAUCAUGAUUGGCACCUUGAA